AACAACCUUCCCCUCUUCUCUCCUCGUUUCCUCUUCUUCGGGCGGACCUAGGAUUGUCGUUGCCGCCGUCCGCACAUCCCAGGCUCCCAGCUCCCCCGGCGCCCGCUCCUCCGUCGAGAGGACAGGAACAUGGUGGCAGCGGCCGGUGGAGCGGGAGCGUCUGGGUCAACGAGACGUUGCGGUACGAGGUGAAUCGGCGGCAAGCCCGGCGCUAGCGCUACGCGCCGCCUUUCCGACUCCUCACUCCGUCCUCGUCCACGGUGGCCGCUGCCACCCUCACUUGCGCUCGUGCCCUCUUCAUCUCCGGCCGCGAGCUCCAUCCCGUCCAGCCUCAUCUCCCCAGAUCUUCUUGGUUUUGGUCCGGGAGCAUACGGGUGCGGAUCAAAGCAUUGAUGGACAGGUUCGUGAAGGAGCUGCAGAAGGCGCUGGACGUGGACAUCCAGGAUCGCAUCAUGAAGGAGCGGGAGAUGCCAGCUACAUUAGGAGCACAAACGCGGGGUCGCCGAGAGGGAGGCCGUUUGGAAGGCCGAGCUCUCCCGCCGCGAGGGAGGUUGCUCUGAGGAGAACUGAAUGGAGUUGCACCAACCAAAAUGCUCAAUUGGACACAUGCUUCCAAACGUGUAAACAAUAGUUAUAUGACCCUCGAUCGGUAUCACGAUCGUGAAUCCUCUCUUGGACGUUGUUUCAAAAAAAAAUUACAGAAGUCUUUGAACCUUUUUAGUAGGUGAAUUUUGGAGUGAAACUCAAUAAAUAUCUUGUUCUUUUAGCUAUGUACUCAGUUGUAUCUACUGAUGAUUCUUCCCCAUUCAGUGAGAAGGCGUCCGGAAAGUAGGCAGUGGGAAAUACAGUGAAGUCAUAAGAGCGUUUAAAUCACUAAAGUAGUGAUCUAAACACUCUUAUAUUUCUUUACAGCAGGUAGUACUCGCCGGCUCACAAACACAAAGUAAUGCGACUUACUUACUCAUUUGCUUCUUACUCUAAACUAUUGGGACUCACUAAAGAAUUUGCAGCGACAACAUAUAUGGUGAUAUCCAACGAAGCUUUUUUGGCUGCCUAUUCUCGAUUAAUGCAGAGGCCCGAAGCCGAACUCAUUCAUGGUUCUAUCUUUUAGAUACAUGAUAGAGAAUCAACAAAUUCACUUUGAUCUGUUUGAUGCAGAGUGUACAGAAAGUGACUAUUGACUGGUAGACUGUUGAAUAUACGUGCAAAUACAUAUUUAUAUUGGGUAUUUUAUUGCUUAAUAUAGUAAUAAACAGAUAUUGUUAUUGUCUGCCCACUAAGAUCUCCAAACCACACCUUGUUGAUGCAUGUGAAGUUACAUGUUAGUAGUUUCUUGGUUAUUCCUUGGCUAAUAUGCUGGAUUAUUCUGCGUACAUGUGUUAUAUCUUCUUACUUGCAUGCUUGUUUGUCUUGACAGAUGGCAACUUCUUUGGGGUUGUGUCAGCAAGCUUUAGGAUAAUUGCCAUGAAUGUCGUAGGAUAAUUGCCAUGAUUUAGCUUUAGACUCCCACAUGUUUCUUGAUCUGAGUGUAUGCUCAUGUGGUAGUUAAUUAUUUGGUUCCAUGACGAGGAAUAUGGAGAUCAAGUUGCACACUAUCAAGAGGCCUUCUCCAGAGGUAUUCUACAAGUUAUCAGAAUAGAUUCUCUUCAUUCCCUGUACCUUGCAGCAUCUCCAUCUAAGGCCGGAGUUCUGCACCUACCUACCUGUUGGUGUAAUAAAUUCCAACUAUGAAACUAAGCAUCAAUUUAUGUCCUACACAUAGUGUUGGCAGUGUGUCAUUGUUGGGUAGAUGUUCAGUACUGCCUCUGUAUUUUGGUUCUGCAAGUCUUUAGACCUCUUAUCUUUGCUAUAUGACUAGAUUCAAGGAGAAUUUUCUGAAAAAUUGGAUAGAGUGGGUGUAUAUCUGAUACACAGGAUGACGCUGACAGUUUUCAAACACCAGUAGGUUAUUAGCAAUCCUUUGUCUAGGUUACAAAUUUCGCCACUGGCAAGUCUGACAAUUUUUUUUCCUUCCAACUGAUGUCUGUUGUAAUAAAAGAUACUACACAUUA